rnacentral:rRNA from 1 species
UACGUAGGGUGCGAGCGUUGUCCGGAAUUAUUGGGCGUAAAGAGCUCGUAGGCGGUGUGUCGCGUCGGCCGUGAAAACCUGGGGCUUAACUCUGGGCGUGCGGUCGAUACGGGCAUCACUGGAGUUCGGCAGGGGAGACUGGAAUUCCUGGUGUAGCGGUGAAAUGCGCAGAUAUCAGGAGGAACACCGGUGGCGAAGGCGGGUCUCUGGGCCGUAACUGACGCUGAGGAGCGAAAGCGUGGGGAGCGAACAGG